GUGGAUUAGAUACCCUGGUAGUCCACGCCGUAAACGAUGAGUGCUAAGUGUUAGGGGGUUUCCGCCCCUUAGUGCUGUAGCUAACGCAUUAAGCACUCCGCCUGGGGAGUACGGUCGCAAGACUGAAACUCAAAGGAAUUGACGGGGGCCCGCACAAGCGGUGGAGCAUGUGGUUUAAUUCGAAGCAACGCGAAGAACCUUACCAGGUCUUGACAUCCCGGUGACCAUCAUGGAGACAUGGUUUUCCCUUCGGGGACAACGGUGACAGGUGGUGCAUGCCCGUCGACAACU
rnacentral:rRNA from 1 species